rnacentral:rRNA from 1 species
CCUACGGGAGGCAGCAGUGGGGAAUAUUGGACAAUGGGCGAAAGCCUGAUCCAGCAAUGCCGCGUGAGUGAUGAAGGCCUUAGGGUCGUAAAGCUCUUUUACCCGGGAUGAUAAUGACAGUACCGGGAGAAUAAGCCCCGGCUAACUCCGUGCCAGCAGCCGCGGUAAUACGGAGGGGGCUAGCGUUGUUCGGAAUUACUGGGCGUAAAGCGUGCGUAGGCGGUUAUUCAAGUCAGAGGUGAAAGCCCGGGGCUCAACCCCGGAACGGCCUUUGAAACUAGGUAGCUAGAAUCUUGGAGAGGUCAGUGGAAUUCCGAGUGUAGAGGUGAAAUUCGUAGAUAUUCGGAAGAACACCAGUGGCGAAGGCGACUGACUGGACAAGUAUUGACGCUGAGGCACGAAAGCGUGGGGAGCAAACAGGAUUAGAUACCCUGGUAGUCCACGCCGUAAACGAUGAUAACUAGCUGUUCGGGUACUUGGUAUCUGAGUGGCGCAGCUAACGCAUUAAGUUAUCCGCCUGGGGAUACGGUCGCAAGNUAAACUUANAGAUGACGNNGNGANGCGAGCGACACGAGGAGAG